GGGCGGGUAGCUCAGUUGGGAGAGCACUGGUUUUACAAGCCAGGGGUCACAGGUUCAAGCCCUGUUCCGCCUACCA
rnacentral:tRNA from 6 species